rnacentral:miRNA from 1 species
CUUGAGAGUCCAAGAAAUCUUUCUU